ensembl:miRNA
GGGUGCAGCUUGGAAUGAGGCUUCAUGGCGGGAGCGCUCAGGCAGGCGCAGGCCCAUCUGACGGCCCCCCACGGAGCCCCCAGC